AUAGGUUAUUAAGGGCGUAUGGAGGAUGCCUUGGCACAAAAAGGCGAUGAAGGACGCGGCAUGACUGCGAUAAGCGUCGGGGAGCCGUCUAGCGGGCUUUGAUCCGGCGGUGUCCGAAUGGGGCAACCCAUGGCGAGUAAUGUCGCCAUAUCUUUAUCCGUAAGAGAUAAAGGAGCAAACCCGGGGAAGUAAAACAUUUCAGUACCCGGAGGAAAAGAAAAAAAGAAUCAAUCUAUUAUUCAUGGGUCCGGAUAGUCGGGCUAAUGAAUAAUAUUUUGAUAAUAUUCCCCCAGUAGCGGCGAGCGAAAAGGGAGGAGUCCAAACCCAUCCGAUACUUUCGCAAGAAAGUAACGGGUGGGGGUUGUAAGGAAUAAUCGUUCUUGUAGCAAUACAAGAGGAAAGUCUAUAAACUUCCACCCUUCGGGUGGUCGCCCGCAGGGGCGAAAAAAUUGAUUAGUUGAACGGUUUUGGAAAAGCCGACCAAAGGGGGUAAUAGUCCCGUAAGCGAAAAUCUUUUUAAUACUUUCUGGUUAUUUUCUUGAGUACCGCGGGGAAAGACUGCCCCGCGGGAAGCCGGGAGAACUACACUCCCAAGACUAAAUACUUUUUGUGACCGAUAGUGAACUAGUACCGUGAGGGAAAGGUGAAAAGCAGCCCGGUGAGGGCGAUGAAAUAGAUCCUGAAACCAUACGCUUACAAAGAGCGGGAGCCCGCAAGGGUGACCGUGUGCCUAUUGAAGAAUGAGCCAACGACUUUAUAGGAACGGCUUGGGUAAACCUCGUUUGAGGCGGACCCGUAGGGAAACCAAGUCUGAAUAGGGCGUUUUUGUCGUUCUUAUAAGACCCGAAGCCAGGCGAGCUUACCAUGGUCAGGUUGAACCCCGCAGAAAUGCGGGGGGAGGACCGCACCCACUAGCCGUGCGACACUAGGGGAUGAACUGUGGUAAGAAGUGAAAAGCUAAUCGAGCCUGGGAAUAGCUGGUUCUCUCCGAAAUAGUUUUAGGACUAGCCCCGCGUGUUUUUUAUUGGAGGUAGAGCACUGGUUGGUAUUGAUUGGCGCAAGCUAGCAAGACCAGUCAAACUCCGAAUUCCAUUAAAAUAACUCGGGAGUCAGUAUUCGGGGGCAAAGCUCCGAAUACAAGAGAGCAAGAACUCGGACCAUCGUCUAAGGUCCCUAAAUUUUGGCUAAGUGUAGAAGGAAGUGAUGCGUCGAAGACAAAUAGGAGGUUGGCUUAGAGGUAGCCAUCCUUUAAAGAGUGUGUAACAACUCACUAUUAUAUUUCCCUUUGGGAGAUUGACGCAUCGCGCCGAAGAUAUAACGGGACUAAGCCAGAUACCGAAGACAUGGGUUUGCGAAUUUUAAUUCGCAAGCGGUAGGAGAGCGUUUUUAGCGCAGCGAAGAUUGACCCGCGAGGGCGAUUGGAGCGCUAAGAAGUGAAAAUGUUGGCAUGAGUAACCUGCAAGACAGAUGAGAAAUCUGUCCGCUGAAAGCCUGAGGUUUCCUUGGCAAUGAAAAUCAGCCAAGGGUUAGGCGGUCCUAAGGCAAUGGAGAAAUCCGCAGCCGAUGGACAGACGGUUAAUAUUCCGUCCCUAUCUCAAGCGCUUUUACGGAAUGACGAAGUUUAGUAUGCCGGGCGCCUUAUUGGAUUGGCGUUCUUUGCAUCAGAGUUUUUGGAAGGCAAAUCCUUCCAAAUGCGUUUAAUCGCAAACUUAAGUGUCGAGAAAAUUUUCCCGUUCGCGGGAAGAAAUUUGGCAAAGCAAGCUUCCAAGAAAACUUUCGUAAAUUAGCUUGAGGUAUCCGUACCGAAAACCGACACAGGUGGGCAGGGCGAGCAGCCCACAGCGAACGAGUGAUCCGUGGUUAAGGAACUCGGCAAAAAAGCGGCCGUAAGUUAGCGAUAUGGCCUGCCCCGCUUAGCGGGGCCGCAGCUAAAGAUUCCCUGGCGACUGUUUAUCAAAAACACAGCUCCCUGCUAACUCGCGAGAGGAUGUAUAGGGGGUGAUGCCUGACCUAUGCGAGAAGGUUAACGGCGGAUGUGGUAUUCCCAGCAAUGGAGAUAUUGCUGAUGCCCGAAGCCCUCGUAAAUGUCAGCGAUAACUAUAAUCGUUCUAAGGUCAUGCUUUUGUUGAUUUAUCAAGGAAGGCAUGAGGACUGGAACGAUUAUAAUAAUGAAAAAAAACGCUGCCUAUUCUAAUGAAAAUUAGAAUGUCUAAAAAUUUUCGGCUAUAUGCUGGAAAAUCUGUGGAUAAAAUCCUCAAGUAUCCGAAACUACUAUGGUAUAAUGCGUCCAUAUAAAUAUGGCGAAAAUAUCAAGUAAAAAAGUUAUCGGCGCAGAUAAUCAGCAGGAAAGGCUAAAAAUUGCUUGGUGGAUUUGCGGUUUUGUUGAUGGAGAAGGUUGUUUUUCGGUAAGUAUAAUCAAAAACAAAACUACCAAAUCGGGAAUUCAAAUUUUUCCAGAAUUUGUCGUAACGCAAGGAGCAAAAAGUUUGUUCGCGCUCAAAAAAAUUAAAAAUUUCUUUGAUUGCGGCAAUAUUUUUGUGAAUAAGCGUUAUGACAAUCACAACGAAAAUCUUUACAGAUAUUGUGUAAGAUCUUUGGAGGACUUAAAGACCAAGAUUAUUCCAUUUUUUAUGGAAAAUAAUCUGAAAACUUAUAAGCGAAAGGAUUUUUCAAUUUUUAAAGAUGUUGUGAGAAUAAUGCUUCAGAAAAAGCACCUAAAUGAUUCCGGUAGAAAUAAAAUUCUUUCUUCAAUCGGUAAAAUGAACAGAAGAAAAAAGCGAUUUUAGAAUCCUCACAGACCAUAUGCCGAACCCUGAGUUUAUCGAAGGGAAGAUAUGGUCGGGACUUUAUGGCGACAUAAAGAUUAACAAAAUCAAGCGUAAUUCCUUGUCUGGUAAGUUCAGACGUGCACGAAAGGCCUAACGACUGGGGAACUGUCUCAACCACGAGCUCGGUGAAAUUGCAAUUCCAGCGAAGAUGCUGGGUACCUGUAGCAAGACGAAAAGACCCCGGGAGCUUAUAGGACUUUAAUGCGUAGCAUAGAAGGG
rnacentral:rRNA from 1 species